AAUAUUGGGCAAUGGGGGAAACCCUGACCCAGCAACGCAGCGUGAAGGAUGAAGGCUUUCGGGUUGUAAACUUCUUUGAUCAGGGACGAAACAAAUGACGGUACCUGAAGAACAAUCCACGGCCAACCACGUUCUAGUAGCCGCGGUAAUACGUAGGUUGCAAGCGUUAGCCGGAUUUACUGGGUGUAAAGGGCGGGUAGGCGGUUCUGCAAGUCGGGUGUGAAAUUUCCGGGCUUAACCCGGGCGGGUCGCCCGAAACUGCGGAACUUGAGUACUGGAGAGGAUAGUGGAAUUCCUAGUGGAGCGGUAAAAUGCGUAGAUAUUAGGAGGAACACCAGUGGCGAAGGCGGCUAUCUGGACAGUAACAGACGCUGAGGCGCGAAAGCGUGGGGAGCAAACAGG
rnacentral:rRNA from 1 species